rnacentral:misc_RNA from 1 species
GUAUCCCUUACAUCGUCUUUGGAGGUCAGUAAAUGGCAAGUUUCAACCUUUCCUUUGUUAUUGGAUUAUUUUUGGUGAUGUCUGUUUUGGUUUGUUUCUUGCGUGGAUGGGCUUAAUUUGAUUAGAUUUUUCCCCCUUUUAGCUUUUUAUAGCUUGAUUCCAACUUUCUCUGAACAAAUCCAAAUUUCCAAAAUUUAUUGAUGUUCAUUUUCUUUAUUCAUAAUUCCCAAGGGUUAGUGUGUAGACCAAUCUAUGGAAAUUACAAAGGAAUUUCCAGUUUUUUGAAUUCCAGAUUGCUCUACAGCCUUCGUAGAUCUUGUUAUUUAGACCCUUCUCUCUUCUGCCUUUCUUUAUUCAAUUGCCGAGGAUGCAAGAUUCUAAGUUUCUAGAGAUGAUGGUAACAAGACAAUGGAGUGAAAACUGCAUUGUCUUCCAUGCUUAGUCAUGUGUUUUUUCAUUUUCGAAAUUGCAAAUGGAAAACUUUCGCUUAAAUUGUUUGUGGUGGGGUCAGUGAAACUGUUUGCAAUUGCAGUAGCACUGAAGCUGCCUAAGUUCUGAUAAUAAAUAGCCAUUUUUAUUUGGAUUCACAAAUCAAGUAAAUUUCUUCACAUUCGCAUACAAAUUAUUGCUUGAACUCUUCUCAUUACCGACUCAAAUUGUAUUGUCAUGCAAUGUUACUGGAAUCCUCGCGUAGCUUUUUGAACUAUCCCAAGUGUCUUCUUUUGUUGUUUGGACAUUAGUGAGUGCUUGCAAGUUAAGAAAUGAUAGUUGGGAACAAAAAUGAUGCU